GGGUAUAAAGCUCAGUGAUAGAGUGUGUGCUUAGCAUGUACAAAGUCCUGGGUUCAAUCCCCAGUACCUCCA
rnacentral:tRNA from 1 species